rnacentral:tRNA from 1 species
GUAGGUAUAGUUUAACCAAAACGUCAGAUUGUGAUUCUGAAAAUAGGGGUUAGACCCCUCUUACCCACC